rnacentral:rRNA from 1 species
ACUCAAAGGAAUUGACGGGGGCCCGCACAAGCGGUGGAGCAUGUGGUUUAAUUCGAUGCAACGCGAAGAACCUUACCAAGGCUUGACAUCCCUCUCGAUACGCUAGAGAUAGCGUAGCCCUUCGGGGGAGAGGAGACAGGUGGUGCAUGGUUGUCGUCAGCUCGUGUCGUGAGAUGUUGGGUUAAGUCCCGCAACGAGCGCAACCCCUAUCUUUAGUAGCCAUCAUUAAGUUGGGCACUCUAGAGAGACUGCCGUGGAUAACACGGAGGAAGGCGGGGACGACGUCAAAUCAUCAUGCCCUUUAUGUCUUGGGCUACACACGUGCUACAAUGGCUGCUACAGAGCGAAGCGAAGUCGCGAGACGGAGCAAAGCGCAAAAAAGCAGCCCCAGUUCGGAUUGUAGUCUGCAACUCGACUGCAUGAAGUUGGAAUCGCUAGUAAUCGUGAAUCAGCAUGUCACGGUGAAUACGUUCCCGGGCCUUGUACACACCGCCCGU